rnacentral:misc_RNA from 1 species
AGCGUCAUUUAAACUCUCAAGCCCCGCUUGGUGUUGGGUGCAGGUCCCUCACGGGACCGCCCGUAACUAGUUGGCGGUACCGUCCGGCUUUAAGCGUAGCAAGAAUCUUCCCUCGCUUCGAAGUCCGGGUGGCGCCUGCCAGGGAAUCACACCCCUUAAAGUUUGACCUCGGAUCAGGUAGGGAUACCCGCUGAACUUAA